rnacentral:lncRNA from 1 species
CCUAAGCAAGGACCCACAUGUGGAGGCUCCUGAUCCCUGAACUGAAAGUCGACUCUCCAGUGCAACAGGUAAACUUGUUUGAGAACGUGGGACAUAACGACGUCUAAACUAUUGCUUCUUGGCAGCAUUGGAUGAUUAGGUCCUCGCUAAGGCUUGCCAAGGCCUGUCCUAGGAAAUGUUCCUGGGCUUGAUUUCAUCCUCACUGUUGAGAGAGUUUAUUCCUUAUAAGGUCCAUCUCAAUUCUCAGGGCACCGCAAGACAACGUAUCUCCCCUCUCCUGUGCAAUCAGUCAAAGAACAUUUAGUCAACCUGAACUGGGAGCACAGCGCUCCUGGGGCUGUUGGGCAUUCAAAAGAGUGUGGAUCAGUGUUAAAAGUGCUUCAUGGAGAAAUGGAGGCCUGAAAGCGACUCUGAAGGAGGAGUGGGGCUCAGCAAACAGCAGACGAGUUUCAAUCCAAGCACCCAUUACCCCCCUAACACACGGCAUACGUGCAUCUCAUCUCCUCCUGUGUCGCUAAGAAGCUACCCAUAUGUCUGUCAUUAAUUCUCCAGAAUCCUUGGACACACCCCUCUGCAGAGCUUUCUAACAGGAAAUACAAGUCUCAGAUUUUUUUUUAAGUUAAAAUUGAGUGCAGCACUCAUACCUUUCUUCGAGCAUGAACCGUCAAUCAACACUGCCUCAUGAGCUACUGCUCUCCUGCUCUUUGAAAAGACAAAUCCUUAUUUCUUUGUAGUGAUCCAGAAGGCAGUGGGAAGAAUGACAGGUGCUUGGUUAUCUUCAAUUUAAUCUCUACCUUUCAAUGGGGCUAGUGCAAGCUAGGGCCAUUUUACUGCACCCAAAGGAAUUUAAGACAUUUCUAUUAUCUCUAAAGAAUCCAGAUUAACAUGCCUUCUUGGUGGGCAGGGAGACCAGCUAUGAAUUCUAGGAUCUCAAUUCAAAUGCUUUUGAAUUCUUCCUGCUUGUUCAGUUAAUUACAUAUAUGUCACCACAAUCUUGCUUUUUUUUUUCUAUGCUUCUAAUUUUCUCUGAAA